GUAUACAUACACAUAUAUACACGUGUGUGUAUACAUACACACAUAUGUGUAUAUAUGUGUAUGUAUACA
rnacentral:pre_miRNA from 13 species